UCAACUCCAGACCCAGGUAUAAUCAUCUCAGAACAUUUCAAGAUUUAAUGAGAAUGAAGAAGACAUGUGUUUUGGG
rnacentral:lncRNA from 12 species